GUUUACUGAGUCAGUCUUAUUUCUGAGUAAUCAAAUUUAGUAGCUUAACAUGAUGAAUUAUUUACUAGUUUUAUUGUUUAUGGUCUUGAUUAUUUCAGGUGCUCAGUCCAGCAUUUCCUUGACUCAGCCCAGCACUGAAUUUGCUCAUCCAGGGGGGAGCGUCAAGCUGUCCUGCAAGAUUUCUGGGUUUGUAAUCCAAGACUGGUGGAAAGCUUGGAUCAGACAGCCUCCUGGUAAAGAACUAGAAUGGCUGGCCACCUAUGAUGAAGAGAGUAACUCAAAGUACUAUUCCUCUGCUAUCAACGGGCAUUUUAUUGCUUCAAUUGAUAUUUCCAGCAGCACAUUCUUUCUACAAAUGAACAAUCUUCAGACACAGGAUUCUGCAGUGUAUUAUUGUGCAUGAGAGACACA